CAGUAGCCGCGGUAAUACGCAGGGUGCAAGCGUUAAUCGGAAUUACUGGGCGUAAAGCGUGCGCAGGCGGUUAUAUAAGACAGAUGUGAAAUCCCCGGGCUCAACCUGGGAACUGCAUUUGUGACUGUAUAGCUAGAGUACGGCAGAGGGGGAUGGAAUUCCGCGUGUAGCAGUGAAAUGCGUAGAUAUGCGGAGGAACACCGAUGGCGAAGGCAAUCCCCUGGGCCUGUACUGACGCUCAUGCACGAAAGCGUGGGGAGCAAACAGGAUUAGAUACCCCGGUAGUCCCUGUCUCUUAUAC
rnacentral:rRNA from 1 species